rnacentral:rRNA from 1 species
AUUGAACGCUGGCGGCAGGCCUAACACAUGCAAGUCGAACGAGUGGCGGACGGGUGAGUAAUGUCUGGGAAACUGCCCGGUGGAGGGGGGUAACUACUGGAAACGGUAGCUAAUACCGCAUACCAUCGGAUGUGCCCAGAUGGGAGUAGCUAGUAGGUGGGGUAACGGCUCACCUAGGCAACGAUCCGUAGCUGGUCUGAGAGGAUGACCAGCCACACGUGAACGGAGACACGGUCCAGACUCCUACGGGAGGCAGCAGGGGGGAAUAUUGCACAAUGGGGGAAAGCCUGAUGCAGCCAUGCCGCGUGUAUGAAGAAGGCCUUCGGGUGGUAAAGUACUUUCAGCGAGGAGGCGUGACUCGCAGAAGAAGCACCGGCUAACUCCGUGCCAGCAGCCGCGGUAAUUC